rnacentral:piRNA from 1 species
UUUUAGCCCGAAUUGCAUGCCUAUAUC